rnacentral:lncRNA from 1 species
UGGGGGCAGGGGCAAAAGGGACACCAGAGGAAAAGAGGAAGCGGUAGGGGGCAAAUAAUUGGGGUGGGUGACUUCUACAAAGACCGGGCAGGUCUGAGGUUGAUAUGGGAGGGAUGCAAAACUGCAGUUAAAGGUACAGACAUCUCUCUGCAGGACAGGGGCGAGUCACUCGAGGGUGCCCAGAAUGCAAGGUGCGGCGACAGCAAAAUACCGAAAGAGACCGAGCCAGGGGACGAGAAUGGAAGUGCCACGGCCUGGAGAGAUAAAAUCGGGCCAGGACCAGGAAAAGGACCGGUAGCCCAUA